rnacentral:rRNA from 1 species
UACGUAGGCAGCAAGCGUUGUUCGGAAUUACUGGGCGUAAAGAGUGUGUAGGCGGUGCUCUAAGUCUGUCGUGAAAUCUCCCGGCUUAACUGGGAGGGUGCGGCGGAAACUGGAGUGCUAGAGGGUGGGAGAGGAAAGCGGAAUUCCUGGUGUAGCGGUGAAAUGCGUAGAUAUCAGGAGGAACACCUGUGGCGAAAGCGGCUCACUGGACCAUAACUGACGCUGAUGCACGAAAGCUAGGGGAGCAAACAGG